rnacentral:rRNA from 1 species
AGAGUUUGAUCCUGGCUCAGGAUGAACGCUAGCUACAGGCUUAACACAUGCAAGUCGAGGGGCAGCAUGGUCUUAGCUUGCUAAGGCCGAUGGCGACCGGCGCACGGGUGAGUAACACGUAUCCAACCUGCCGUCUACUCUUGGACAGCCUUCUGAAAGGAAGAUUAAUACAAGAUGGCAUCAUGAGUCCGCAUGUUCACAUGAUUAAAGGUAUUCCGGUAGACGAUGGGGAUGCGUUCCAUUAGAUAGUAGGCGGGGUAACGGCCCACCUAGUCUUCGAUGGAUAGGGGUUCUGAGAGGAAGGUCCCCCACAUUGGAACUGAGACACGGUCCAAACUCCUACGGGAGGCAGCAGUGAGGAAUAUUGGUCAAUGGGCGAGAGCCUGAACCAGCCAAGUAGCGUGAAGGAUGACUGCCCUAUGGGUUGUAAACUUCUUUUAUAAAGGAAUAAAGUCGGGUAUGCAUACCCGUUUGCAUGUACUUUAUGAAUAAGGAUCGGCUAACUCCGUGCCAGCAGCCGCGGUAAUACGGAGGAUCCGAGCGUUAUCCGGAUUUAUUGGGUUUAAAGGGAGCGUAGAUGGAUGUUUAAGUCAGUUGUGAAAGUUUGCGGCUCAACCGUAAAAUUGCAGUUGAUACUGGAUAUCUUGAGUGCAGUUGAGGCAGGCGGAAUUCGUGGUGUAGCGGUGAAAUGCUUAGAUAUCACGAAGAACUCCGAUUGCGAAGGCAGCCUGCUAAGCUGCAACUGACAUUGAGGCUCGAAAGUGUGGGUAUCAAACAGGAUUAGAUACCCUGGUAGUCCACACGGUAAACGAUGAAUACUCGCUGUUUGCGAUAUACUGCAAGCGGCCAAGCGAAAGCGUUAAGUAUUCCACCUGGGGAGUACGCCGGCAACGGUGAAACUCAAAGGAAUUGACGGGGGCCCGCACAAGCGGAGGAACAUGUGGUUUAAUUCGAUGAUACGCGAGGAACCUUACCCGGGCUUAAAUUGCAGAUGAAUUACGGUGAAAGCCGUAAGCCGCAAGGCAUCUGUGAAGGUGCUGCAUGGUUGUCGUCAGCUCGUGCCGUGAGGUGUCGGCUUAAGUGCCAUAACGAGCGCAACCCUUGUUGUCAGUUACUAACAGGUUCCGCUGAGGACUCUGACAAGACUGCCAUCGUAAGAUGUGAGGAAGGUGGGGAUGACGUCAAAUCAGCACGGCCCUUACGUCCGGGGCUACACACGUGUUACAAUGGGGGGUACAGAGGGCCGCUACCACGCGAGUGGAUGCCAAUCCCAAAAACCUCUCUCAGUUCGGACUGGAGUCUGCAACCCGACUCCACGAAGCUGGAUUCGCUAGUAAUCGCGCAUCAGCCACGGCGCGGUGAAUACGUUCCCGGGCCUUGUACACACCGCCCGU